rnacentral:sRNA from 1 species
UAGACAACACAGGUAGAAGACUUAUGGGC